rnacentral:piRNA from 1 species
UGACGUGUCUUUUGCCUUGCAGAAGCUU